rnacentral:tRNA from 1 species
UGCUCCAUGGCGCAAUCGGCAGCGCGGCCCGCUGUUAACGGGAAGGUUGAAGGUUCGAGUCCUUCUGGAGCAGCCU